rnacentral:rRNA from 1 species
CAGCCGCCGCGGUAAUACGUAGGGUGCGAGCGUUAACCGGAAUUACUGGGCGUAAAGCGUGCGCAGGUGGUUAUAUAAGACAGAUGUGAAAUCCCCGGGCUCAACCUGGGACCUGCAUUUGUGACUGUAUAGCUAGAGUACGGUAGAGGGGGAUGGAGCUCCGCGUGUAGCAGUGAAAUGCGUAGAUAUGCGGAGGAAUACCGAUGGCGAAGGCAAUCCCCUGGACCUGUACUGACGCUCAUGCACGAAAGCGUGGGGAGCAAACAGGAUUAGAUACCCCCGUAGUCCCUGUCUCUUAUAC